GGAGAGCUCCCUGCCCGGCGCUGGAGAAAGGUAAGUUUUAACCCCUUUCCUCUCCCCAGAGCCCGGCGGGAGGGGGACCCUGAGGGUGGGGGCACCCUCAGGGCACUAUAGUGGUCCUUUAAUUUGAUUUACAGUUUCAUUGUGCUUCAAGUCCACUGCUUGUAAAUUGCAAUAUAGUGUGUAGCAGUUUAGUACAUAAGUGAAUCAUGCACUGAGGGAGGCAGGUGUUGUUGUUUUUUUAAACUCUUCGUAGAGAGAAGAAAAUAUUGUCCCGAAUGUUCAGUCCAGUGUACUGCAGCAUCAAUCGUAGAGUUGCAGGCAGGGCACAAAAGCCACUUUAAAUGUGUGCUGUAAAUGUG